rnacentral:rRNA from 1 species
UUGGAGGGCAAGUCUGGUGCCAGCAGCCGCGGUAAUUCCAGCUCCAAUAGCGUAUAUUAAAGUUGUUGCAGUUAAAAAGCUCGUAGUUGAAUUUCGGAAUCCAUCCGUCGGUCGGGCUUCACGGUCCGCACUGGUGUGAUGGAUUCCUACCUUCUGAAUAACCAGCAUGCUAUUAAUUUGGUGCGUUGGGGAAGCAGGACUGUUACCUUGAAAAAAUUAGAGUGCUUAAAGCAGGCUAGUGCCUGAAUACAUUAGCAUGGAAUAAUGAAAUAGGACGGCAUGGUUCUAUUUUGUUGGUUUCUAGGAUCACCGUAAUGAUUAAUAGGGAUAGUUGGGGGCAUAGUAUUCAAUUGUCAGAGGUGAAAUCCUUGGAUUUAUUGAAGACUAACUUCUGCGAAAGCAUUUGCCAAGGAUGUUUUCAUUAAUCAAGAACGAAAGUUAGGGGAUCGAAGACGAUCAGAUACCGUCGUAGUCUUAACCAUAAACUAUGCCGACUAGGGAUCGGACGAUGUUAAUUUUUUAAUGACUCGUUCGGCGCCUUACGGGAAAC